ACUACGGGAGGCAGCAGUGAGGAAUAUUGGUCAAUGGGCGAGAGCCUGAACCAGCCAAGUCGCGUAAAGGAUGACGGCCCUACGGGUUGUAAACUUCUUUUGUCAGGGAGCAAUUGAGUCCACGUGUGGUCUUAGCGAGAGUACCUGAAGAAAAAGCAUCGGCUAACUACGUGCCAGCAGCCGCGGUAAUACGGAGGAUGCGAGCGUUAUCCGGAUUUAUUGGGUUGAAAGGGUGCGUAGGCGGAAUAUCAAGUCAGCGGUAAAAAGUCGGGGCUAAACCCCGUCGUGCCGUUGAAACUGAUGUUCUUGAGUGGGCGAGAGGUAUGCGGAAUGCGUGGUGUAGCGGUGACAUGCAGAGAUAUCACGCAGAACUCCGAUUGCGAAGGCAGCAUACCGGCGCCCAACUGACGCUGAAGCACGAAAGCGUGGGUAUCGAACAGGAUUAGAUACCCUUGUAGUC
rnacentral:rRNA from 1 species